GAGUAAUGUCUGGGAAACUGCCUGAUGGAGGGGGAUAACUACUGGAAACGGUGGCUAAUACCGCAUAACGUCGCAAGACCAAAGAGGGGGACCUUCGGGCCUCUUGCCAUCAGAUGUGCCCAGAUGGGAUUAGCUGGUAGGUGGGGUAACGGCUCACCUAGGCGACGAUCCCUAGCUGGUCUGAGAGGAUGACCAGCCACACUGGAACUGAGACACGGUCCAGACUCCUACGGGAGGCAGCAGUGGGGAAUAUUGCACAAUGGGCGCAAGCCUGAUGCAGCCAUGCCGCGUGUAUGAAGAAGGCCUUCGGGUUGUAAAGUACUUUCAGCGGGGAGGAAGGUGUUGUGGUUAAUAACCGCAGCAAUUGACGUUACCCGCAGAAGAAGCACCGGCUAACUCCGUGCCAGCAGCCGCGGUAAUACGGAGGGUGCAAGCGUUAAUCGGAAUUACUGGGCGUAAAGCGCACGCAGGCGGUCUGUCAAGUCGGAUGUGAAAUCCCCGGGCUCAACCUGGGAACUGCAUUCGAAACUGGCAGGCUUGAGUCUUGUAGAGGGGGGUAGAAUUCCAGGUGUAGCGGUGAAAUGCGUAGAGAUCUGGAGGAAUACCGGUG
rnacentral:rRNA from 1 species